CUUGUACUUGUAUCAGCAGCAGGUGGAGUCACUGACUGAAUUGAAUUCACCAUGUAGGAUUUACCUAUUGGUGGCCUUUCUCAGGAAUGGAAUCGUGCAGCCUGCUGGACUUUUUGCCCACCCAUUCAUUUUGUGAUGCCUAUCAGGACCCAUUUCCAUCUGCGGAUCGAUGCUGAGAUGUAGUGUAUACGCCAGCUGAAGUACCCUUUGUUGGUGUACAGUUGUCUCCAUCAUUCAGUCAGUGUGAAAUGAGUAUUUCUGUGCAACUAUUUAAGAACCCGCUCUCAAUAUC